CUGGGGACCUCAGGGGAGGCAUUCUGGAGUGAGCCUGAGCAAUGACUGAACAGAGGUGUUGACUACCUGUGCCUGUGGAAGGUUCAUCAUCUGCUUGAAGCUGAGCAUCCUGUAGGCUGAAAAUACUGCCUUUAAGAAUGAGGAAACCACAGCUGU
rnacentral:lncRNA from 1 species